rnacentral:lncRNA from 1 species
GGUGACGGCGGAGUUGAUAGCAGCGGAUAGCUUUUCCAUGCAAAUGAUGAAGAGAUAAGGGGACAAUGGAUCACCUUGUCGGAGACCAUGAGAAGGUUUGAAAGACGGCAACUUGUUCCCAUUCCAAAGUAUAGAGUAGUUUGAUGAAGAGACACAAUGCAUGAUGAGUUUGAUGGUGAUGUCUGGAAACCCAAAAUCAUGGAGGCAGUUGCUUAGAAAUUCCCAGUUGACGUUG